rnacentral:tRNA from 1 species
ACCAAAGUGGUGAAAUUGGCAGACACGCUAGGUUUAGGUUCUAGUUCCUUAAAAGAUUAGGGGUUCAAGUCCCCUCUUUGGUA